UAGCUAGUUGGUGAGGUAACGGCUUACCAAGGCGACGAUCUGUAGCGGGUCUGAGAGGAUGAUCCGCCACACUGGAACUGAGACACGGUCCAGACUCCUACGGGAGGCAGCAGUGGGGAAUUUUGGACAAUGGGGGCAACCCUGAUCCAGCCAUGCCGCGUGAGUGAAGAAGGCCUUCGGGUUGUAAAGCUCUUUCGGCCGGGAAGAAAUCGCAUGGGCCAAUACCCUGUGUGGAUGACGGUACCGGAAUAAGAAGCACCGGCUAACUACGUGCCAGCAGCCGCGGUAAUACGUAGGGUGCGAGCGUUAAUCGGAAUUACUGGGCGUAAAGCGUGCGCAGGCGGUUUUGUAAGACAGGCGUGAAAUCCCCGGGCUCAACCUGGGAACUGCGUUUGUGACUGCAAGGCUAGGGUACGGCAGAGGGGGGUGAAAUUCCACGUGUAGCAGUGAAAUGCGUAGAGAUGUGGAGGAACACCAAUGGCGAAGGCAGCCCCCUGGGUCGAUACUGACGCUCAUGCACGAAAGCGUGGGUAGCAAACAGGAUUAGAUACCCUGGUAGUCCACGCCCUAAACUAUGUCAACUAGGUGUUGGGUGGGUAAAACCAUUUAGUACCGUAGCUAACGCGUGAAGUUGACCGCCUGGGGAGUACGGCCGCAAGGUUAAAACUCAAAGGAAUUGACGGGGACCCGCACAAGCGGUGGAUGAUGUGGAUUAAUUCGAUGCAACGCGAAAAACCUUACCUACCCUUGACAUGCCAGGAACUUGCCAGAGAUGGCUUGGUGCCCGAAAGGGAGCCUGGACACAGGUGCUGCAUGGCUGUCGUCAGCUCGUGUCGUGAGAUGUUGGGUUAAGUCCCGCAACGAGCGCAACCCUUGUCGUUAAUUGCCAUCAUUUAGUUGGGCACUUUAGCGAGACUGCCGGUGACAAACCGGAGGAAGGUGGGGAUGACGUCAAGUCCUCAUGGCCCUUAUGGGUAGGGCUUCACACGUCAUACAAUGGUCGGUACAGAGGGUCGCCAAGCCGCGAGGUGGAGCCAAUCCCAGAAAGCCGAUCGUAGUCCGGAUUGCAGGCUGCAACUCGCCUGCAUGAAGUCGGAAUCGCUAGUAAUCGUGGAUCAGCAUGUCACGGUGAAUACGUUCCCGGGUCUUGUACACACCGCCCGUCACACCAUGGGAGCGGGUUCCGCCAGAAGUAGGUAGCCUAACCGCAAGGAGGGCGCUUACCACGGCGGGGUUCGUGACUGGGGUGAAGUCGUAACAAGGUAGCCGUAGGGGAACCUGCGGCUG
rnacentral:rRNA from 1 species